GACGAACGCUGGCGGCGUGCUUAACACAUGCAAGUCGAACGGAAAGGCCCUGCUUUUGUGGGGUGCUCGAGUGGCGAACGGGUGAGUAACACGUGAGUAACCUGCCCUUGACUUUGGGAUAACUUCAGGAAACUGGGGCUAAUACCGGAUAGGAGCUCCUGAUGCAUGGUGGGGGUUGGAAAGUUUCGGCGGUUGGGGAUGGACUCGCGGCUUAUCAGCUUGUUGGUGGGGUAGUGGCUUACCAAGGCUUUGAAGGGUAGCCGGCCUGAGAGGGUGACCGGCCACAUUGGGACUGAGAUACGGCCCAGUCUCCUACGGGAGGCAGCAGUGGGGAAUAUUGCACAGUGGGCGGAAGCCUGAUGCAGCAACGCCGCGUGCGGGAUGACGGCCUUCGGGUUGUAAACCGCUUUCGCCUGUGACGAAGCGUGAGUGACGGUAAUGGGUAAAGAAGCACCGGCUAACUACGUG
rnacentral:rRNA from 1 species